GACGAACGCUGGCGGCGUGCUUAACACAUGCAAGUCGAACGAUGACGACCGAGCUUGCUCGGUCUGAUUAGUGGCGAACGGGUGAGUAACACGUGAGCAACCUGCCCUUCACUCUGGGAUAACCUCGGGAAAUCGGGGCUAAUACCGGAUAUGAGCUCCUGUCGCAUGGCGGGUGUUGGAAAGUUUUUCGGUGAAGGAUGGGCUCGCGGCCUAUCAGUUUGUUGGUGAGGGAGUGGCUCACCAAGGCGAUGACGGGUAGCCGGCCUGAGAGGGCGACCGGCCACACUGGGACUGAGACACGGCCCAGACUCCUACGGGAGGCAGCAGUGGGGAAUAUUGCACAAUGGGCGAAAGCCUGAUGCAGCGACGCCGCGUGAGGGAUGACGGCCUUCGGGUUGUAAACCUCUUUCAGCAGGGAAGAAGCGAAAGUGACGGUACCUGCAGAAGAAGCGCCGGCUAACUACGUG
rnacentral:rRNA from 1 species